rnacentral:rRNA from 1 species
UACGUAGGUGGCAAGCGUUGUCCGGAUUUAUUGGGUUUAAAGGGUGCGUAGGCGGUCUUAUAAGUCAGUGCUGAAAUAUCCCGGCUUAACCGGGAGGGUGGCAUUGAUACUGUAGGACUUGAGUAGAGUUGAGGUUGGCGGAAUUGACGGUGUAGCGGUGAAAUGCUUAGAUAUCGUCAAGAACGCCGAUAGUGAAGACAGCUAACUAAGCUCAAACUGACGCUGAGGCACGAAAGUGUGGGGAUCAAACAGG